rnacentral:rRNA from 1 species
UACGUAGGGUGCGAGCGUUGUCCGGAAUUAUUGGGCGUAAAGAGCUCGUAGGCGGUUUGUCGCGUUGUUCGUGAAAACCGGGGGCUUAACCCUCGGCGUGCGGGCGAUACGGGCAGACUGGAGUACUGCAGGGGAGACUGGAAUUCCUGGUGUAGCGGUGGAAUGCGCAGAUAUCGGGAGGAACACCGGUGGCGAAGGCGGUUCUCUGGGCCUGUACUGACGCUGAGGAGCGAAAGCGUGGGGAGCGAACAGG